GACGAACGCUGGCGGCGCGCCUAACACAUGCAAGUCGAACGGAGCUGAGAGAAGCUUGCUUUUCUUAGCUUAGUGGCGAACGGGUGAGUAACGCGUGAGUAACCUGCCCUGGAGUGGGGGACAACAGUUGGAAACGACUGCUAAUACCGCAUAAGCCCACGAUCCGGCAUCGGAUUGAGGGAAAAGGAUUUAUUCGCUUCAGGAUGGACGCGCGUCCAAUUAGCUAGUUGGUGAGGUAACGGCCCACCAAGGCGACGACUGGUAGCCGGACUGAGAGGCUGAACGGCCACAUUGGGAGUGAGACACGGCCCAGACUCCUACGGGAGGCAGCAGUGGGGGAUAUUGCACCAUGGGGGAAACCCUGAUGCAGCGACGACGCGUGGAGGAAGAAGGUUUUCGGAUUGUAAACUCCUGUCGUUAGGGACGAUAAUGACGGUACCUAACAAGAAAGCACCGGCUAACUACGUG
rnacentral:rRNA from 1 species